AUCCCUAAAUUCCUUGCAAUAGCUGCUUGAGAAAUGUUGUUCUUAAACAAUUUGCUCAGGCGUUUGUUGACAAAGUGGUGACCCUCCCCCUGUCCUUGUUUGUGAAUGGAAGCUGCUUUUAUAGCCAAUCAUGGCACCCACCUGUUCCCAAUUAGCCUGUUCACCUGUAGGAUGUUCCAAAUUAGUGUUUGAUGAGCACUCCUCGACUUUCUCAGUGUUUUUUGCCGCUUGUGCCAGUUUAAUAGUAACUGUUGACUUAGGAGAAUCACCCAGCUUCCGCCGUCCUAUCCUUGGGCGAGACACUACAACCUCCUGCCAUCACUGUGUGAAUGUCUACCUGAGUGGGUGAAUAGAAAUGUAGCGUACGAUAAGCCGCUACUUUUUUUUCCCCCCGCGCUAUGAAUCCUGCGUCUUAUAAAGCGGCGCGACUAAUUUAUGCAUUUUUCUUUGCUAACAUCCAGUUUGCUCACUGCAGGUGCUGCUGGGUAAUCCUAUACAGUGUUUCCUGCCUUUUUAAAGCUUUGAACCGGAAGUACAAGUUGUCGUUCCAUCUUCUAAUCAUCCAUAGCGUUUCUACUUGCAAGGAUUCUUCAGUCAUCACUCCAGGCAACGUUGGCGGCAAAGGUGAAGAUGAAACAGACGGAGACAAACAAGUCCAUGGCGGUGACGUAGGACACCUUGGGCAGGGACUUCCUGGAGAUGGUGCUCAGAGUUGUCAUGCCAGCUUGAUCGGGAGGCGGGUGACACGUUUACGUCGUCUAACGCAGGGGCGUCCACGUGGUUUUCCCCGAGGGCCAAGUGGCACUUGUGUUUGGCCCCAGAGGACUGCUUCUAAAACCAUUUUACUGCCUUGUUACAGACACCAUUUGGGAACAAUUAAGGUAUGUAGUUAUUACACCAUUUUUUAUGCAUUUUAUUAGUCGACUUUUUUAAAACUAAAAUGUAAAAAAAAAUGUAUGGUAAGUGGCAAUAAUUUCACCCAAAAAUUUUCUUUAUUUGACUGUAAAUGGAAAAACUGUACUGCCGUUUUUCUGGUAAAAGCAUUUUUCUUAAAAAUGCAGCUCAGUUGCCAGAAUUUUACUAUAAAAUGUCCUAUUUUUCUGUAAAUAAAAAAACUGCAAUUUUACAGUAAAAUUUUGGAAUCCGAACUUCUUACUUACUAAACCAUACUAUUACACAAUUUUUUUAAUGCAUUUAUUAGUAAAUUUUUUUAAAACUAAAAUGUACGUUGCAAUAAUUUCACCUCAAAAUGUACAUGGAAAAACAGUACUGCUGUUUUUGUGGUGUAAAAAAAGGCAGAUCAGUUGCCAGAAUUUUACUGUAAAAUGAAAAAAAAAAUUCUGUAAAUAAGAAAACUUGCAAUUUUACCAUGACCUUGACUUCUGUUUUGUUUGAUCUACCGUUUUACUGCCCUGUUAUAGACACUGUUUGUAAGAUAUUAUUACACAAUUAUUUUAUGCAUUUUAUUAGUAAAUUUUUUUUAAACUAAAAUGUAAAAAAUAAAUACUUUUAAGUUGCAAUGAUUUCUCCUAAAAAAAAAUGUAUUUGACUGUAAAUGGAAAAAGAGUACUGCUGUUUUUACGGUAAGAAAAAAAAAAUAGGCAGGUCAUUUGCCAGAUUUUUACCGUAAAAAUUAAAAAAAAUGUUUGUAUUGUUUCACUUUCACAAAUCCCUCACUAAACUAAUCAAGACCACUUAUCCAGUUUGUUUAGCUGAUUGGAGAGCUAGCUUGCGCAGCUAGUGGGUCCAUGACUAUGACUUCUGUUUUGUCUGAUCAGUCGUUUUACUGCCCUGUUACAGACACUGUUUGGAAACAAUUAAGGUAUGUAAAUGAAAAUAUUAUUGCACCAUUUUUUUAUGCAUUUUAUUGGUCGAUUCAUUUUUUUUACUAAAAUGUAAAAAUGUUGUGUAUUUUACUGUAAAUGGAAAAACA